rnacentral:misc_RNA from 1 species
GGGAGUUUUACUGGUCUUAUAAAAAACUUUAAAGGUGGCUUACACUAUUGAGCUUAUCCUAUAGCUAUUAUAAUAAUUAUAAUUUUGAUUGUUAGCUGUAUCUUUUGAUGCGCCAAGGAGGCAUUGGAUAAGUGCAUACGUGAAGAUGUGGUGUCUUCCACUUCUGACGGGCAAAACUUGUCCCACUUAGAAUGUGCUUUGAAUCACAUAUAUAUCAUUGGGACAUUACCUGUGUUAUGCUUUUGCAAUUACACAUUUACCAUUCCAAGCUUUUAUAGGGAAAAAAGAUUAAGCUCAUGCACAUGACAUCCAACUGGACGUGUCACAACUCACAACCGCAAACAGACGGGGGCAAUUCAGAAAACAGAGUU